rnacentral:misc_RNA from 1 species
AAGUCGUAACAAGGUUUCCGUAGGUGAACCUGCGGAAGGAUCAUUACCAAAUCCCUUUAUAUGCAACUGUGAACUGUGCUUCGUCCUUGGGGCAUGAAUAUUGUAGACUUCGGUUUACUUUAGGAGUGCCCCAAAAGGACUCAACUCACUUGUGAGUUGGACCUUAACAUUUAAACAACUUACAAACUUUUGAUGGAUUGUUUUUAACAAAAAUAACAAUGACAACUUUUAACGGUGGAUCUCUUGGCUCGU